ACUGGUGACCCACUAGGAGAUGAUCUACAGUACAUAUACUGUAUAUGUGAUGGAGUAUGAAGAGAAAUCAAGGAAAUCCUCUGAAGUCUUGACUGAGUGGCACUGCUUUCUUACAGUAUAAUAGAAGUACAAGGGAGAAUGGGAAUUCGAUAAAAACAGAAGACAGGAGCACAAAGGUUUGUGUAGAGUGUUUUUAGUGGAGAGGUCAUUGAUCACAGCAGUCCUCCCAUAAAAGAAAUUCUGAGAAAAAAUAGAAAAAGUACAAUUAUAUCCUCAAAAACUCUCCUUUUAGAUAGAUACUGGGUUGUGUUUGUGCUUUUCUUUAAAGUGUAGCCCUUACAUGUGCAAAUACAAAUAAUAGUCUCAGAGUAUUUUAGACUAAAUUAUUGUUGGACUGCAUUUAUUUUAGACCGCAAAUAAUCAGUUUGAAUCUGUUGGCUUCUGAUGAAAUUUCUAUCCUCAGCAUUCUGCCCAAAAGAAAUGUGCACACUCAAACAAAACCAGAAAAAAUGGCUGUUCUUAAUCACAUAAUAAUUACAUGCUUUAGAGUGCUUCCUUUGCAUGAA